rnacentral:rRNA from 1 species
AGACACGGUCCAGACUCCUACGGGAGGCAGCAGUGGGGAAUAUUGCACAAUGGGCGCAAGCCUGAUGCAGCCAUGCUCCGUGUAUGAAGAAGGCCUUCGGGUUGUAAAGUACUUUCAGCGGGGAGGAAGGUGUUGUGGUUAAUAACCGCAGCAAUUGACGUUACCCGCAGAAGAAGCACCGGCUAACUCCGUGCGCGCAGCCGCGGUAAUACGGAGGGUGCAAGCGUUAAUCGGAAUUACUGGGCGUAAAGCGCACGCAGGCGGUCUGUCAAGUCGGAUGUGAAAUCCCCGGGCUCGACCUGGGAACUGCAUUCGAAACUGAUAGGCUUGAGUCUUGUAGAGGGGGGUAGAAUUCCAGGUGUAGCGGUGAAAUGCGUAGAGAUCUGGAGGAAUACCGGUGGCGAAGGCGGCCCCCUGGACAAAGACUGACGCUCAGGUGCGAAAGCGUGGGGAGCAAACAGGAUUAGAUACGGUGGUAGUCCACGCCGUAAACGAUGUCUACUUGGAGGUUGUGCCCUUGAGGCGUGGCUUCCGGAGCUAACGCGUUAAGUAGACCGCCUGGGGAGUACGGCCGCAAGGUUAAAACUCAAAUGAAUUGACGGGGGCCCGCACAAGCGGUGGAGCAUGUGGUUUAAUUCGAUGCAACGCGAAGAACCUUACCUGGUCUUGACAUCCACAGAACUUUCCAGAGAUGGAUUGGUGCCUUCGGGAACUGUGAGACAGGUGCUGCAUGGCUGUCGUCAGCUCGUGUUGUGAAAUGUUGAAUUAAGUCCCGCAACGAGCGCAACCCUUAUCCUUUGUUGCCAGUGAUUAGGUCGGGAACUCAAAGGAGACUGCCAGUGAUAAACUGGAGGAAGGUGGGGAUGACGUUGAGUCAUCAUGGCCCUUACGACCAGGGCUACACACGUGCUACAAUGGCGCAUACAAAGAGAAGCGACCUCGGCAGAGCAAGCGGACCUCAUAAAGUGCGUCGUAGUCCGGAUUGAGGUCUGCAACUCGACUCCAUGAUGUCGGAA